UGUAACUUGCCGAUUCUUUCAGCAUUGUUCUAUAAUAUAAUAAAUCAUUUUGUUUUAACGUUUAACACAUAUAGCAUGUGAUCCAUAUGAGCUGCUGCAUUUUACUCACACAGACCUAGCCACACAUCUAAAUUACAGUAUUAAAAAUUAAUAUAAGCUUAAAAAUGUUUAGAUUUUCUUGCUACAAAAUUUCACUGUUUGUAGUUUUCUUCUUCAUCUAUAAUGAAGGAAUCGGAAGUCAGAAGUGUUCGCCUUUAGGAGGGGAGUGUGGGAGAUUUAUACGACCGGACAAACCAGACGUGCAGUGUUGUCCGAGACUGGACUGCUAUUAUGCACCUGCUUUUGGAAAGUCUGGUGUUUGCAUUGAAAAUUAUGACACGAUGAUAAAUCUUUGACAGAUAUAUGACUAAGAUAUUAAAAGAUUGAAACAUUA